rnacentral:rRNA from 1 species
UACGUAGGGGGCUAGCGUUGUCCGGAAUCAUUGGGCGUAAAGCGCGUGUAGGCGGUCCGGUAAGUCCGCUGUGAAAGUCGAGGGCUCAACCCUCGAAUGCCGGUGGAUACUGUCGGGCUAGAGUACGGAAGAGGCGAGUGGAAUUCCUGGUGUAGCGGUGAAAUGCGCAGAUAUCAGGAGGAACACCGAUUGCGAAGGCAGCUCGCUGGGACGUAACUGACGCUGAGACGCGAAAGCGUGGGGAGCAAACAGG